rnacentral:lncRNA from 1 species
CGGCUGUACUGGGCUCUGCCUUUUGGGCAGCUCGCCGGCCACUCCCCAAAAGCAGAGCAUUCCAUCCUUUCUCUUUUUAAACCCACGUCAUCAUCUGAUCAUAAUGGAAAUCAAUCUCCUCAAACCACCAUGCAAAGGCGUAUCCAUGGCAACCUCAAAAGGAAGGACACAGAGAUGAUGCUUCAGUGGCUGCAGCAGGAAAAGCUCUUCGCCUCUCGGUACCUUAAGUAUACCUGAGUAGCCAGUGGUCAACAUGGGUUUGCUGCUCUCCUCACUGCAAUAAAUGACGGAAACCUGUAGCUCAGUAUGGAUUCAGGGGCGCCUCAGACGCUCGCAGGAACGGAGGGGAGACCCUUGCAGUUCUGGAGGAACUCUAAGGCGCAGUCACUCUGAUCCCAGGAGAACACUGCUAGGCUGAAGAGCUGAGGUGGGUCAGACCGGCCUCGGGGCAAACGCUCAGGCGGAGCCCCCGGACCCUGGCAAGCGCCCACCCCUGCUCCAGCCCAUCCCUGCCAGUCCCCGCCCCGCACACCGGGCUCGGUCCCCAGCCCACCGCCGGCAACCUCACGAACACGUAGGGGGCCGGCGGAGCAGACGGUUGGCAGAGUCGCGCCUCCGUACCUGCACUGUCAGGGGCUCCGCGCCCAGCUCCGACCCCACCGACGACCGACGCCCAAGACCCUGCGGGCCGGCCCCGCCCUCCCCGCCCUCGUGGGCUGCCCGACUCGCCGCCAGACCCUUCCAGGACCGCCCAGAACCCUUCGGCCCAGAGGCCCAGAGGCGUUCUAGGUCGAGUGAACCCUCUUUUCCCACAGUCCAGCCCUGACUGAAAACUGCGCACCGACCGCAGCCGGGAUUACAUCAAUCAGGCACAAAGCUGGACACCUGGGACAGGAUAAGCGCACGCGCACUGUGCCUGGGAAGCCGAUUAGGACCAUAAGAAAUCGGCGUGUCGUGGCGAGCGCCCUCUUUCGGCGGAGGGGAGAAAGCGCAGAAGGGCUGGAGGACUCAUUUGCAAGUGUUAAACUGCUAAUUAAAACAAUAGCGAUAAACCAUAUCUCCUCCAUUAGCCUGGGGGAGAAAAUUAAAUGUUGCUGCUACUCAGUGUUACCUGUCAUAUGGGGAUACAGGCAUUCUCAUGCGCUUAUGAUGGGAAUGUAAAAUACAAAUUUACAUAAUGGCAUUUUAAAAUUUUAGACAUAGGUUCAAAUUCUUUUUUUUCUUUUUUUAAGACAAGGUCUCGCUCUGUUGUCUAGACUGGAGUGCGGUAGCACGCACAAUCAUGGCUCAUUGCGGCCUUGACUUCUCAGGCUCAGGCCAUCCUCCCACCUCUCAGCCUCCGUAGUAGCUGGGUCUGCAGGCGCGCACCACCAUGCCCUUUUAAUUUCCGUUUUUUUUUUUUUGUUUUUUUUUUUUUGUAAAGACGGGGUUUCACAAUGUUGCCCAGGCUGGUCUCGAACCCCUGGGCUCAAGCGAUCCAAUCGCUUCGGCCUCCCAAAGUGCUGGAAUUACAGACAUGAGCCACCGCACCCGCCUGGGUUCAAAUUCUAACUGCAAUUUACUAGCCGUGUGAAAUCUAGAGUUAGUUAUUUACCUUACCCUCUCUGUGCCUCUGUUUUCUUAUUUGUUAAAGUGAGAAUGUUAAUGAUGGUACCUAUCUCAUUAUGUUGUUAGAAGGAUUAAGUUAAUCCAUGUAAAGAGCUGGAAAUAUAACUAUUGUAAUGUUAUAUUUAUUUCAGUUAAUCUCAGAUUUAAAACAAACUGAAAAAUUCAUAAAGUUGCUGUAAGGGGCAGUAAGCAGUAGAAGGGAUGCAUUGAGUAUCCCCUUUAUUACUCCCCCCUUUUCCCUAUUUCACCUUCUAAAUAUUUAUAAUUAUUAUUUUGAAUAGAUAAUACGUUUACAUGGCUCAAAAAUCAGAACACUAUUUUAGAAUAAACACAGAGAAACCUCCCUUCAACCCUGGUUCCCAUCGACUCCAUCCCCCUUGCCUGCUACAGAUAAUGCUUGUUAUUAGUGUCUUGUUUAUCUUUUCAGUGUUUUGUGCAAAUAUAAGCUCAUAUGAAUAUAUAGUCUUACUCCUCCCGUUUCUUAUGCCAAAUGUAGCAUGCCAGAUACACUUGGCAUAAGUUCUGUUUACUUAAUCUAUUCUGAAAAUCUUUGUAAAUCAAUAAAUUAGAGAUCUUCCUCAUUUUUCAGCUGCUUAGUACUCUAUUGCAUGGAUACACAUAAUUUAUUAACCAGUUUCUUCUAGUUACAUACUUUAUUUCCAGUCUUUUAGUAUUACAAUGUUGCAAUGAAUCACUUUGAACAUAAUGACAUUCCAGUGUGAGCAGGCAUAUCUCUAGGAUACAUCUUGGUCAAAUAAUAAAUGUAUCUAUAAUUUUAGUAGAAAUGUCUUCCAUCUCCUUCAAUUAAAGAAAAAUAAAAAGUAAAUAUAAAGACUUUAAAAGAUACUGCAUAUACAUAUUUUUAAUUGUCGUAAAGCAUACAUAACAUGAAAUUUACCAUUUUAACCAUGUUUAAGUUCAGUGGCACUCAGAACAUUCACAUUGUUGUGCAAUCAUCACCACUAUCCAUCUCCAUAACUUUUUCACCUUUCUGUACCAAAAACAAACAUGUAAGCAAACAAAACCCUCUGUGAUGAUCUGACAAAAAAACUAAAGUGUAUGAUAGAAUGUGUGUAGGUUAUAUAUAAAUAAAAUACAGUUGGCCCUCUGUAUCUGUGAGUUCAACCAUCCUUGGAUUGAAAAUAUUAGGGGAAAAAUGGAUGGUUGUGUCCAUAGUAAACAUGUACAGACUUUUGUCCUUGUCAUUAUUCCCUAAACAAUACAGUAUAACAAGUGUUUACAUUGUAUUAGGUAUUAUACAUAACCUGAGAUUAUUUAAAGAAACAGUUCCCAAC